rnacentral:rRNA from 1 species
ACACGGCCCAGACUCCUACGGGAGGCAGCAGUAGGGAAUCUUCGGCAAUGGGGGCAACCCUGACCGAGCAACGCCGCGUGAGUGAAGAAGGUUUUCGGAUCGUAAAGCUCUGUUGUAAGUCAAGAACGGGUGUGAGAGUGGAAAGUUCACACUGUGACGGUAGCUUACCAGAAAGGGACGGCUAACUACGUGCCAGCAGCCGCGGUAAUACGUAGGUCCCGAGCGUUGUCCGGAUUUAUUGGGCGUAAAGCGAGCGCAGGCGGUUUGAUAAGUCUGAAGUUAAAGGCUGUGGCUCAACCAUAGUUCGCUUUGGAAACUGUCAAACUUGAGUGCAGAAGGGGAGAGUGGAAUUCCAUGUGUAGCGGUGAAAUGCGUAGAUAUAUGGAGGAACACCGGUGGCGAAAGCGGCUCUCUGGUCUGUAACUGACGCUGAGGCUCGAAAGCGUGGGGAGCGAACAGGAUUAGAUACCCUGGUAGUCCACGCCGUAAACGAUGAGUGCUAGGUGUUGGAUCCUUUCCGGGAUUCAGUGGCGCAGCUAACGCAUUAAGCACUCCGCCUGGGGAGUACGACCGCAAGGGUGAAACUCAAAGGAAUUGACG